rnacentral:rRNA from 1 species
CCUACGGGAGGCUGCAGUGAGGAAUAUUGGUCAAUGGCCGCAGGGCUGAACCAGCCAAGUCGCGUGAGGGAUGACGGUCCUAUGGAUUGUAAACCUCUUUUGUCAGGGAGCAAAGGGCGCCACGUGUGGCGCUUUGCGAGUACCUGAAGAAAAAGCAUCGGCUAACUCCGUGCCAGCAGCCGCGGUAAUACGGAGGAUGCGAGCGUUAUCCGGAUUUAUUGGGUUUAAAGGGUGCGCAGGCGGAAUGUCAAGUUAGCGGUAAAAUUUCGGGGCUCAACCCCGUCGUGCCGUUGAAACUGGCGUUCUUGAGUGAGCGAGAAGUAUGCGGAAUGCGUGGUGUAGCGGUGAAAUGCAUAGAUAUCACGCAGAACUCCGAUUGCGAAGGCAGCAUACCGGCGCUCAACUGACGCUCAUGCACGAAAGCGUGGGUAUCGAACAGGAUUAGAUACCCCAGUAGUC